CAUAAUUGAUCAUAUUUAACCAGAGGCUGUUUCUACAGAGCAGGGCUUUUUAUUGUAAUUUAUUCACUGCGGUGUUGAGCAAUAAGGAGGAAUGUGUGCAGAGCUGGGAAAGAAUGCCUGGGAAGAAACAGCUGGGCGGGGGGUUAACCCAGCGUCCUGUUCCGCUGUCUUCCAGAUCUCUGGGAGAAGAAGGGUUCAUAUUGGCCUCCCUGCGCAGAGACAGAGCCCCGCCUCAGUCUGACUGCUGCACACCUGGACAGGUAAAGGUGGAGCGGACACAGGAGAACACAGCUCCUGACUUGGAACAACGAGGCUGGUUGUUUGUUAAAACGGGCAGUAUGGGAGAGGCACCGACCAGAGAGGAGGGCACAGUCACUCGCUCUGCAGAGUAUGUUGGCUCAUUUGUUGUGGAUGACUGCUGUUUGGACGAUCAGAUAAAUCAGCUGCACACACAGCUCAAGCACUUAAAGACAUGCAAGCGAAGGAGGCCAGUAACCCUGAAGUUCUCCCUCAAAGGGGUAAAAAUGUAUGAUGAGGAUGAAGUGACCCUCCUUAUGGCUCAUGCUUUGAGAAGAGUCUCUCUGUCCACCGCCCGCCCAGUUGACUCCCAGUUUGCCUUCGUCUCCCAUAACCCAGGAAGCACCGAUGCUCAACUUUACUGCCAUGUUUUUAAAGCAAGGCAUGCCAGAGCGGCCCAGUUCCUGAACCUGCUGCUCUGCCGAUGUUUCCAGCUGUCUUAUCUGGAAAAGCAUCCAGAAGAGGCACAGGAACAUUGCACCGGGUCAUUGCCUCGGCGUAACCCCUCGCUGCUAAACCACGGCUUCCCUCUUAGUGUCAGUGCCCUGGUUUCCUUCAGAAGAGCUCCUUUUCGAGGGUUGCUGUUAAGCACAAAGAAAUCUAAGAAGUCCUCCAAUGAUCAUCUCGAGAGCCAAGAUGAUGUUUUUUCCUCCUCCAUUCCCUCACUGAUGCGCAGGAAAGUCAUCCGCAACAAAGGUCUACGGUCUGGUGCUUACCGCUCCUUCACUUUCACACCGCACAAACAGCGCAACAUUCAGGAGCAGCUGAGUGCAUCACAAGGUGGGCCAAGAGUUCACAGAGCGCUAUCAAGAGUCAAAGAAAUGAUUAGGAGAGAGUCAAGACAAGGUGCCGGCGAAGAGAUCCCGAACUCCAAGCUUAGCCGAAACAGAAGAGGCGUUGGCUCAGGCAGUGUGGUGUUGGGCUGGUCUCGCCACUGACAGCUGCUACUCCCUCCUAGCAGAUGACGUUCUAGGAUCAUACCUUCUGUGCCCACAUCCUAGAAAACCUAAAUGUGGUUCUCUUAUCAUUCGCUUCCGCUCUGGUCUGAUCACCCACCUUAUAGAAAACACUCGGAAAGGGAAGUUCUUGUUGGAGAAAUGCAAGACAGAAUUCAACUCCAUUGCUGAGCUCAUUGAAUACUACUCUGUGACCCCAGAUGAGCUGCCUUGUCCACUGAGCUGUGCAAGAGUGAACCACUGCUAUGAGUGGGAGGAAAAUGCUAACACACAAAAGGCUAUAAAGCAAAUCAAAAACUCCACCAAAGCCAGAUUUAAAAGUACCCACUGAAGGGAGCAUGUCUAAACUACGAGACCUGAGUUGCCAACAUCUGAGGAUACUGAUUAAGAGACACUCUUUUCACUCUUUUGCACAUUUUUUUUAUUUUUUUUUUACAUUUAAAUCACGUUUCUCACUGGAAAAACCGUGCACCUAUAAUCAGUGUUGGCAAUUUUCAUAUGCUCUUAUGCACCAAAUUAAUCAGGGUACCUAUUAUUCAAAGAAGUAAUAUUAAUUGCUUAAAGCUUUUAUGUAAAGUCAGUUUUUUCAGUAUUUUUUUACAUGCCUGUAAGGCAUUCCAAGUUUAAAUGUUCUUAGAUAUCAAAGUUUUAAGCAUGGACUUUAUAGCAGGGUCUUAACUUUUCCUUUUUUUUUAAAGUUUCCUUGAUCCUCCAAGGAUUUACCUCAGUGAAUAACCAUGUUUUACUCUGAUCGUUUUUGUCUUGUCUUCAUAUUGCUGUGUCUGCUAUUAUAUGCUAUGUUGCUUGUUAUUUUCAUUCUAUUUGCUAAUGUGUACAGUUAAAUGUAACUAAUUUUAAUCCAAACCAACAUUCGACUGAAUGUUUACGGGGAUAAAGUUUCAUCACUUCUAAUGAGCUGUUUCCAUGAACCGUCCACAUACAGUUUGUUUUUUUUAUGCCCAUUUUACAAUAAAUCUAUUAUC